rnacentral:rRNA from 1 species
ACGCUGGCUACAGGCUUAACACAUGCAAGUCGAGGGGAAACGACGGGGAAGCUUGCUUCCCCGGGCGUCGACCGGCGCACGGGUGAGUAACGCGUAUCCAACCUGCCUCUGACUGAGGGAUAACCCGUCGAAAGUCGGCCUAAUACCUCAUGGCAUCGUCUGCGGGCAUCCAACGACGAUUAAAGAUUUCAUCGGUCAGGGAUGGGGAUGCGUCUGAUUAGCUGGUUGGCGGGGUAACGGCCCACCAAGGCUACGAUCAGUAGGGGUUCUGAGAGGAAGGUCCCCCACAUUGGAACUGAGACACGGUCCAAACUCCUACGGGAGGCAGCAGUGAGGAAUAUUGGUCAAUGGGCGGGAGCCUGAACCAGCCAAGUAGCGUGCAGGAAGACGGCCCUAUGGGUUGUAAACUGCUUUUAUGCGGGGAUAAAGUGAGGGACGUGUCCUUCAUUGCAGGUACUGCAUGAAUAAGGACCGGCUAAUUCCGUGCCAGCAGCCGCGGUAAUACGGAAGGUCCGGGCGUUAUCCGGAUUUAUUGGGUUUAAAGGGAGCGUAGGCCGUGGAUUAAGCGUGUUGUGAAAUGCAGGUGCUCAACGUCUGCACUGCAGCGCGAACUGGUUCACUUGAGUGUGCGCAACGCAGGCGGAAUUCGUCGUGUAGCGGUGAAAUGCUUAGAUAUGACGAAGAACUCCGAUUGCGAAGGCAGCCUGCGGGAGCACAACUGACGCUGAAGCUCGAAAGUGCGGGUAUCGAACAGGAUUAGAUACCCUGGUAGUCCGCACGGUAAACGAUGGAUGCCCGUUGUCAGGCUGUUUCAGCCUGGUGACCAAGCGAAAGCAUUAAGCAUCCCACCUGGGGAGUACGCCGGCAACGGUGAAACUCAAAGGAAUUGACGGGGGCCCGCACAAGCGGA